UCGCCACAAGGCAAAACGGGCAAGACUGGUGAACAUCGCCACAAGGCUAAACGGGCAAAGAACAGACGUACUAACACCAGAGGGAAGGAACAGGCGUACGACAACGCCAGAGGGAAGGAACAGGCAUACAACAAUGCCAGAGGAAAGAAAAGGGCAUGCGGAAACGCCAAAGGGAAAACCCGCCGGGGCGUGAGGGAAACACCGGGGCGCAAGGGAAGAGAUCGCCGGUGCGUGAGGGGAACCGGAAAACCUAACAACAUAGCUGAAGGCGUCUAAACACGCCGAGAAAACUAGAUCUAAAUGCCAAAAAUCUAAACACCAGGGAACCAAGAAAUCUAAACACCAGGAGUCUGAGAGCGUCCUAACAUGCCGGGAACACUAAAUCUAAACGCCAGUAAUCUAAACACCAGGGAUUGAGGGCAUUCUAACACCCCGGUAAACAUGAAAUCUACAGGGGUCAGAGGGCGUCCUAACACGCCGAGAAACACGAAAACUAAACACAAGGAGUCAGAGGGCGUCCUAACACGCCGGGAAAACACGAAAUCCACAGGGGUCAGAGAGCAUCCUAACACGCCAGGGCAUCAAGGAGGAGCUAGGGGCCAAAACAAACCAAGAAGCGCUGGGACCCAAAGAGCGCUGGAAAAAAUUAGGAUCUAAACCCCAAAAACUAGAAAACCAGGCAGAAACUAAACAAAAGCAAAACCCAGAAGGCUAGGGCAGGGAUAACAAAAGAAAAACCGAAGAAAACUAGAAAAUCAAAAACCAAAACAAAGAGACUAGGGCAAAGACAGGUAAACUAAUGUAGCACUGGAUAACUAAGGCUAGAAUAAGAACACAAAGAUAAACCUGGAAAACUAAGGUAAAAACUAGGAUACCAAAGAAAAACCCAAAAAACUAAAGCAAAACUAAAAGACAAUGGAAAACUAGAAAAUUAAAGCAGAACUAGGCGACAAGAACCAGUCACCGAGGCUAAAGACUAGAGAACUAAAACUAAAAUAAGAGCACAAAAGCAAAACCUGAAAAGCUAAAGGCAAAAUCUAGAAUCCUGAAACGGAGCAGGAAAAAGAAAAACUCAAACAGAAACUAAUAAACUCUAAGACAAACAAGGAACCUUCUGAAAUAACUCUCAAACGGAAGAACGCUAAGUAAACCAAAACUAAGGCCGAGCUCUAACAAAAUAAAUUGAAGGCACUGGCCUUAAAGUUCAAAUAGAAAACCACAUACUUAUAGUUUCUCAUUUGAUAGUAUGUACAAAAUUAAAAACAUCACAAGUGAAAAAAAUAAUAAAUUCUAACAUUUUUUUUGUUUAUAGCACAAAAUAAUUCACUGAAAUAGCAGACAACGCAAAAUUCCUUAUUCAGUCACGUGACCCACGAGGAGCCGCUGUAGGAUUCCGUGACGUCACACUAGUCAGGAGGUAGUCGGGAAGCGGUCAUUUUAAAUAGCGUGUCAGUAUUUUUUCACCUUUGCGAUGGAGUUUGUAUCUUUAAACGAGGACAAAUACGAAGCGAGCCAACUUAAUGUUAAAAACGAGGAGUGCUGUGUCCAGCCAUAUGCGUUUGAGCCGUUAGUUAGGCGUGAAUUACGGGACAACACCGAGGAAAGUGGAGAAAGUAGGAGUAGCGAUGAUGACCACACUAGUAGGCCGACAUCGUCGUCGUCCGACUCAGAACUGCCAGUGAAGAGGAUAUUGACGACCGUUCCCAUCGACUGACAAAUACUGACUGGUGCAAAUGUGGCAACUGUGUGAUUAUGCCCACAGUGGAUGAAUGCAAGUGCUGCACAGAAACGCACCUUGUUGAUCAGGAAGUCGAGUCAGCUGGGCUGCAAUGUAUAGCCUUACAUGAAGGCUUUCAGGGAAACUGCCUCGACCAGUAUGUCCUCAAGGCAUCUUUUGUUGAGUUUCUGGAGGGACAUGGUCCUCUUGGAAAUGAUGAACCAGUAAACGAGAUUUACAGGUACAUUGCAUAUAGAAGAAUGAUCAGAUGGAUUUGGGAACGCAUUGGAAAAAGAAAUAGGAAAGUUCUUCCAUCCUAUGCAGUGAAUAAAAUAAGACAGACCUGGGAGUCAGCAGACUACACUGGUUUUAAAUACCCAACUGUGUGAACCUCGACUUCCUAGUUGCCACAACUGUUGGAAAGUUCUCAAAUGAGUGUUCAUGGAUGUCUACAAUGUGGUUCAUCACCGACUUCCACUUGGCCACAACCAGCUCAGCAUUUCCAUCACUGCUUGCCCCACACCAAUAUACAUGGUUGGAGAUGCUGUGGAUCCACGGUGAGAUGAUGAGCAGCUCUUGCUUUUUUGACCAGAGACUAUUCACAGCUGGAAUAAGGUAUGCCUUCUGUAUGUUAUAAUAAGUACUGACGCAGAAUGUUGAAAUCCUCAUAAAUUUAAAACAAUUGACUGCCUUCACAGUACUACAUACACUAAACAUUAUGGAAGCGGCUAGCUGUAAGUUGCCAAGUGGCAUGGUGCCAUGUGAUGGCUGACUUUUCCAGGUCUUCACAUGAGAGGGGUCAACACUACACUGUGAUGUCAAGGUC